GGUGUGAGAUAGUGGAAUAGGAGGCAGAGGAGGAGGGAAGGCACCAGGACGAAGUGUAAGUUAAGAAUUUCGUAAAGGUUUUGAAUGGUUGGAAUAUGGCUCAGUUCCGGCUUGCGUUGCUGACGUAAAUUGUGGGCAACAGAAAGAGGAUGUCAGGAUGUGAAAAGAAGGUACUGUUUUGGAUCAAUGGUAAGAGGCGUCUUCCCAACCACAUGGUUCUGGG